CAAUAAUGACCACAACAAGUACAGAGGAUAGUUCUGGGAGGCCUAUGAUGGAGGAGCAUUUUUCAGAAUUGAAAGAAGCAACACCAUUCGCAUAUGACGCAGAUCACAUCCAACCGAACAUUGCCAUGGACCCCAGAACUUGUCUAUGACCUUACCUGUAAGACCCUGAAAUAAAUAACUAGCUUAUUUAUUUAAUUUCAAUAUUUUAAUUUUAUAGAGUUUAUUUAAAAGCAAUGAUUAAAUUAUAAUUAUUUUUGUGUGUAUUAUUCUAUUUUAAUUCUAGGAAUUUCUACUCUUUAAUUAUCUAUUUCUUUUAUGAAGAGAUGACCUGCUCUAACAGGUCAUACUCCUUAGUUACCUAUGAUAACCUAUCACCAAAGAAUAUUCUUUAUUCUUUUCCUCCAACCACUCAUUCAAAAUAUCUAUUUUUCCUCCCAUCCUCACCACACAUUCAAAUUUUCUAAUCACAUUCUCUCUUCGUGGUCCCCACCUCAAUCAAAUUUGACUUUUCCUCUCUCUCACUUACUCAUUCAAUUCUUUUUAUUUUUCCCCCACAUCUCCUCUUUUCACGUGAUUCACCUCCCCAUCUGAUUUAAUUCAUUUCUCAUCACAUGCAUCAGACAUGAUGCAUGACUCAUGCACAGCCCAUUGGUCCCACCACCUCACAAAUCUGAUUCCCUUUCUCCCUCUUCACUCGUCUCACGCACUCUCCCUCUCACUUCUUCUUCAUUCACGUUUCUUUUUCUUCCUUCCCACUACAGCUUCUUCUCUUUUUCCUCUGCAACUCACCCACAACACCUUCUUCUUCUUCAAUUUAUUUCUGUUGCAAAACCCAUCACCAUCACCUUCUUUUCUCUUCACCACAGCCCCAGUUACUCCUUCUCCUCCCUUAAGCUGAGCAUCAGCACCAUGUCCUUCUUCUCCUUCCAUGUGCAAACCACCAUGGCAUCACCCAAGCUAGCCACCACCGCCAGCAGCCACGGUGACGCCGCCACUUCCUUCAGCCGCGAGCACCACCACGUCCUCACCACCAUCACGUGACCAUGAACGAGCCACCUUGGUCACCACCACAAAACCCUAGCCGCCACCUUUUUCCUCCGAUCUCCGGCGAACCAUUAAGUUUUUGGAGAAACAAACACCACCAAUGAACUCCCCUCAUCAUCCGCAACAAAACCCCUCCACCGAUUCGAUGAUCGGCCACCGUGACUCCGGCGACCGCCGUCGCCGCCGUCUUCUCCGGCAAGCUUUGUUCUGAGAAAGGAGGCCAAUUUCUUGAAGCUCUCAACCUCCUCUUCCUGAAUCUAAGGCUCAAUCAUCUUUAAGAGUUUCAAUGGCUACUGGAGGAAGGGGAGAGCCCGACCAGACCAGACCAGAGGAAGAAGUGAAGCUCAGUCCUAUGACCAUGAGACUUGAGGUAGAAGGAGAAAGAAUUGAACACUGUGUUUAGAAAUUAUAUGUUAAUUGAAAAGAUAAGAUUAUUGGUUGUAUGGUUUUUGUCAAUUGUUAGUCUAGGGUUAAUAUAUUUUUCUGAUUUGGAAAAUAGAAAUUGGAUUUUAGUUUUACAAAAUGUAUCAUGGUGCUGCUGUAUUUUAUAUAUAGGAAGCCUUGUACUUUAGCCCUUUGUGAAUUAAAGUACAAAGGUUAGGUUUUCAGAAUGAAAACUUAGUAGGAUUUACGAACUCUUGAACUCGUUCUUAAGUUGUGUUAACAAAUGAAUUUGAAGAAGUUGUCUUCAUAAGAAUUGUAGAUCUUUUUGUUAGAAAACGUUUGCCGCUGGUUUCAUGUCGUUCCGACUCGUGUAGCUCAAGUUAUGCGCAUUUUAGUGAGCACGGGUUAAGCUGUCCCGUUUCUCACGAACUGCUGUUAGUAUUUUAUUUUUCCUGAAUUUUGUACUUCAAAUUUAGACUUGAAAAUUUAUAGGUAUUUACAAAACAUGUAGACGAAACCAUGAUAAAAAUAUUAGAUUUUUCGGAGUGCAUUUGACGUAUUUAAAAAUUAGCCAAAGUUGCUGUACAGUUUAUAAUCGUUUGACAAAAUUAGUUAUUUCAAGUGCAAAGAGUUGCUUUGAAAAAUAGAUGAGAACAUCUUUUAUUUUAAAAUGAUAUUACAAUGCUUUGGAGUAGGAAAACCCCUUUUGUACUUUACUUACGUACGUUGUUUAUCUGUUUAUGAAAAUAGAUGACGUUUGAGUUUUACGCUCAUUUAUUCGUUGGAAAACGAUUGCGAAAGGUUUUGAAAGUCGAACAAGUUUUUGGAAGUGUUAGGGAAUAAGAGUGUGGAUAUUAUCUCUUUUGUUAAUGAAUGUUUUAGGGAUAACAUAUUUGGUUAGAGAUAGAGCACUUAGGUUUGGAUUCCCGAGUGAUGAAUUAGACUUGGAAAGUAAUUACGCUUUGUGUACUUACUAGUAUAUAAACCCGUGCUUUGCACGGUGAGUAUAUGACCAGAAUUUUUUUAAAACAACAGGUUUCCUACAUAUAUAAUACUGUAUAUAAUAUGACACAUAAAAGGAAUUUUCCAACACAUGUCAUUGCAUUUUAAUUAACACAGUAACCAGUGUCCAAUGCAUGAUAAAAACCAAGAGAUGCAAAUCAAAGUGCAUUAGUUCAACCCAUCCAACGAAUAAUACUUGCGGAUCUCCAUCAACCCUUUAAACAAAAAUGGCUUUUUGAAAUUUCUUUCAUAUGAUACCAAAUGAACCUUUCCAAGGGGAUUAAACAACUUCCACUCCUAGCUAAGUUCAUGAUCAUAUUCAACUGCAAAUUGGCGUCACACCAACGCUACUUCUUGCACAUUCCACAUAAGUCAUUGUAAUUACAAAAUCAGGAAUCAUAUGAGCACAAUUUUAACUUGAAAUCAUGCUUAUCACCUGCAGAGGUAAUGAAACAAUGGCAAUGGCAUCUCUACAAAACCUAGAAGAUCAUCUCAAAUAUUCAUCUCCAUCUACACAGCAGAAUUUUAUUCACAGCAAACAACUUCAGUGCAUUCGGGUGUGUCUAUAUCGGAUUAUAAGUAGUUGAAAGUCACCCACCAGUUAUAAUGGCACAGUUGAAGUAACCUACUCGAAACACGUGAAUAAAGGAAAAUAUUACCUCA